rnacentral:rRNA from 1 species
GUGCUAAUGCCGCAUAACCAUAGUUACCGCAUGGUAACUAUGUAAAAGGUGGCUAUGCUACCGCUUUUGGAUGGGCCCGCGGCGCAUUAGCUAGUUGGUGGGGUAAAGGCUUACCAAGGCGAUGAUGCGUAGCCGAACUGAGAGGUUGAUCGGCCACAUUGGGACUGAGACACGGCCCAAACUCCUACGGGAGGCAGCAGUAGGGAAUCUUCCACAAUGGGCGAAAGCCUGAUGGAGCAACGCCGCGUGGGUGAAGAAGGUCUUCGGAUCGUAAAACCCUGUUGUUAGAGAAGAAAGUGCGUGAGAGUAACUGUUCUCGUUUCGACGGUAUCUAACCAGAAAGCCACGGCUAACUACGUGCCAGCAGCCGCGGUAAUACGUAGGUGGCAAGCGUUAUCCGGAUUUAUUGGGCGUAAAGGGAACGCAGGCGGUCUUUUAAGUCUGAUGUGAAAGCCUUCGGCUUAACCGGAGUAGUGCAUUGGAAACUGGGAGACUUGAGUGCAGAAGAGGAGAGUGGAACUCCAUGUGUAGCGGUGAAAUGCGUAGAUAUAUAGAAGA